UGCACUAUGAAAAAGAUAUUUAAAAAGGAUUUUGUUAUGCGUUUCUUUAACAUUUUCCUGGCAUUCUGGGGACAAGUCCUUAAAAUCAACUCGAAAAUUUUGAGCUGCAUCAAAUCAUAACCAUAUGAUUCCGUACGUGAGUCCAAUUAUUUCUAGCUUUCUUCUUUCUAAUUAUUUUCUAUUGAGAAAACUGUCAUCAUCUUUGUGAUUUUUGAUAACAUUGUCAAC
rnacentral:lncRNA from 1 species